CAGCCCCCAGGGAGUCCAUUGUUGCCUGGAAACAAAGUAUGGUAUGUGAAAGGACCCAUUCUGGUGAGCAUCGAUCUGGCGGUCCGCCGCGAGGCAAGCUACCACCUGUUCCAGCCCCGGCCUCCAGUUUCAUUGGAUUCUUGCGGUAAUUUCACAGUUUAAUUUAAGGUGCCAACAGCAUGAGGAGAUCAUAUGGUGUGGACACAGUCUGGAGGUGGCAGCAGCAUGAGGAGAUCAUAAUGUGGUAGAAUGACACAGCCUGGAAUUGACGGCAGCAAGAGGAGACCAUAUAGUGACAGAACAACCCUGCCUGGAGGUGGCAACAGUCUGAC